AGAAGCAGCUACAGGAUACCGAGAUGAAUUACAACACUUAUCGAGUCGGCUGGUGCGGGCAAAUAGACAAUAACAGAAGGAGGCUCAAGAUGGCGACCGACGAGGUUGCUCACUUUCAGAAGUAGUUGUCCGAAAGAGCCCAGGCCGUUUCGGUUCAAGGCUCCAACGAGCUUCGAUCCUUGAGGAGGACCAUGGAAGAACUGUCCGUAGCCCUUGGGAAGGA
rnacentral:lncRNA from 1 species